UACGUAGGGGGCAAGCGUUGUCCGGAUUUAUUGGGCGUAAAGGGUGCGUAGGCGGGUCUUUUAAGUCAGGGGUGAAAUCCUGGAGCUCAACUCCAGAACUGCCUUUGAUACUGAAGAUCUUGAGUCCGGGAGAGGUGAGUGGAACUGCGAGUGUAGAGGUGAAAUUCGUAGAUAUUCGCAAGAACACCAGUGGCGAAGGCGGCUACCUGGACCGGUACUGACGCUGAGGCGCGAAAGCGUGGGUAGCAAACAGG
rnacentral:rRNA from 1 species